rnacentral:rRNA from 1 species
AGGAUGAACGCUGGCGGCGUGCUUAACACAUGCAAGUCGAACGGUGAAGCCCAGCUUGCUGGGUGGACCAGUGGCGAACGGGUGAGUAACACGUGAGCAACCUGCCCCUGACUCUGGGAUAAGCGCUGGAAACGGUGUCUAAUACUGGAUACGAACAGUGACCGCAUGGUCAGUUGUUGGAAAGAUUUAUUGGUUGGGGAUGGGCUCGCGGCCUAUCAGCUUGUUGGUGAGGUAAUGGCUCACCAAGGCGUCGACGGGUAGCCGGCCUGAGAGGGUGACCGGCCACACUGGGACUGAGACACGGCCCAGACUCCUACGGGAGGCAGCAGUGGGGAAUAUUGCACAAUGGGCGCAAGCCUGAUGCAGCAACGCCGCGUGAGGAUGACGGCCUUCGGUUGUAAACCUCUUUAGCAGGAAGAAGCGAGAGUGACGGUACCUGACAGAAAACGCAACCGGCUAACGUACGUGACCAGCACGCCGACGGUAAUCGUA